GACGAACGCUGGCGGCGUGCCUAAUACAUGCAAGUCGAACGCAGUGGGGACGGGUGAGUACCAUGUGGGUAACCUCAACAUCAGGGGGGACAACAGUUGGAAACAGGUGCUAAACCGAUACAGAUGGAUGGACCCGCGGUGCAUUAGCUAGUUGGUGAGGUAACGGCUAACCAAGGCCACGAUGCAGCGCCGACCGGGUAGUGGGAUCGGCCACUCUUGGACUGAGACACGGCCCAGGCUCCUACGGGAGUCAGCAGUAGUGCAUCGUCUGCAAUGGACGAAAGUCUGACCGGGAAACGCAGCGUGAGUGAAGAAGGUUUUCGGAUCGUAAAACUCUUUUGUUAGAGAAGCGGUAUCUAACCAGAAAGCCACGGCUAACUACGUGCCAGCCGCCGCGGUAAUAC
rnacentral:rRNA from 1 species